rnacentral:tRNA from 1 species
ACUGGGUUGGCCGAGUGGUUAAGGCGUUGGACUUAAGUUCCAAUGGACAAGUGUACCGCGUGGGUUCGAACCCCACAACCAGUA